AAUUAUUGAUACCAGGUUCAGGUUUAGCAGGGACUUCCAUACUGAUCAGUAGGAUACACCCUUUGCUUGAAACGACACAUGCACAAACCUGCUCUUUCAGCGUGCAUCCUCUAGGUGUCUCUUUUUGUAUUUGUUGCAGAUUCUCUCUCCUCUACCGUGAAAAUAAGAGGUUGUUGUUGAACUAUGGCUCCCUAUGUUACCUUGGUGCAGAAUCUUCAUACUGCCAUUACAAACUCUAUCAUAAAAGUUCGUUGUGUUCGUGUCUUUGGAGGUCUACAUGAUGACAACAAAGAUAUCAAUUCAGAAUGUGUUCUUCAUGAUUCAAAGAUAUUAUUGGUGUAAUUACUCCCCCUGGAAGAGAUUUGAAGCAGAAUAGAUAUAGGUUGAUUGAGGUUGAAAUAAGUGAUGAGUUAUAUUGUGUACAAUUUGGGAUUCCAAUGUGGAUUCUUAUUUGUCUCAAUUGAAAAACGCUGAAGGGACUGUUCCUAUAAUCAUUGUUCAGUUUUGUUAGCCUAAUGUUUUCAAAGGUGAGAUUGGUGUGUAUCCACUCAUUAUCAAGCAUCCAAGAUUCUAAUCAAUGCUGAUGUAGCUGAAGUCAAGGAGUUUAGGAACAGGUCUGAUGCUUUUGAUCUUUGAGACUAUACUGAUAUACCUUCAUUGCACAAGGGUCAGUGGAUCAAACUGGAGUCAAGCAUAGUAGGGAGUUUGAUGAUUUUGCUGUCAAGUCUAUUAGUGAUGUUGUUUGUUUGGAGGAUGGCUGCUACUGGAUUUUUGGCAAAGUUGAAUCAAUUGAGUCUCAUUUUGGAGAGUAGUAUUAUCUAGCAUGUAAAACCGUGUUAAGAAAGUUAGAGUGUUGGAUGACAAGAAGUUUAGGUGUGAUUUCUGCAUCAAGAAUUUUGAUGUUGCCGUGAAAAGGUUCAGGUUUGUUGUCAACGUUGUUGAUGAUACAAGCAAUGCAUCCCUUUUGUUGUGGGAUAGAGAAGUUGUUCAACUUAUUGGAAAAAGGGUGAUUGAUUUGAUUGGAAGUAAUAUGGAAAAUUCUGCUAUGGAAUAUAUUCCUAGGAAAAUUGAGGAGCUGCUUUUGGGUCAAGAGGUGUUGUUUAAGGUUCAAAGCAAGAAUAGCAAGGAUGAUUAUCGCAGAUAUCCAUAUUAUGUUAACAAAGUUUGCAAUAACCUAGAAAUUGUUGAGAAGCAUGUUCCUCUGAACAUUGGAUCACAAGUUCUGAAUUCUAAUGUGAAGUUGUCUGAUUUACUCUUUGGUGAUGAUAUUGUAGAGGUAUUUUUUCAAAUAUUAAGUUGACCUUUUCUUACAUUUUGAUUU